UCCUUGUUUUCAACUUCCGUUACUCAUUUUAGCCCUCUUCCUUCCCUCGAAUUGAUCGCUCUCCCGGAUUUUACAAUCGAAUGAAUUGCUGCUGGUUUGUCUCACAGAAAAAAUGUCGAUUAGCUUCAAAUUCAGAAGCUGUUCAGACUUCGAUUCGGUUGAUAUAGAUGGCCGGACCUCUAUAUCUUUAGGAGAACUAAAGAUCAGGAUCGCCCGACUGAAAAAUCUCAACGUAGGCAGGGAUUUCGAUCUCAUCCUCUCCGAUGCCACCUCCGGUAAAGUGUAUGAUGACGAAAGUAUUCAGAUUGCGAGUGGGUCAAGUGUAAUUAUCAGGAGAGUUCCUGCUAAAAAAACUCCUUCAACUAUUAAGCCAGCAAUUGGUACCAUGAAGUAUUUACGGUUGAAACAUGUUGAUCGUAUGAACCAGGUGGAUGCGCAAGUCAAUAAAUUUCAUGACUUUAGGGCUGAUUUUUUUCCGCUGGAUGAGGGAAUAUUUCCCAAGAAUGAUGUAGGAUUUGAUCAGCAGAACUGCUGGGACUUUGAGAAAGAUUACCCCUUAGGUCCAAGGGCGAUACGCUCCAACUUUCCAGCUUUUCGCAGUAAGGUUUUACCGGACGUACUGAGAUGCCCUCUCUGUAGAAUCUUCAUGAAGGAUGCUGUAAUGAUACCUUGCUGCCAGCUCAGUUUUUGUGAGAAAUGCAUUCGUCUGGUUCUUCUAGAAAAGGCGAAGUGCCCAAAAUGCUCUUCUAGCAGGUGUAGAGUGGAAGAUCUGCUACCAAAUUUAUCUCUCAGGCGCACAAUUCGGCGUUUUCUUGCAACUGAUCCAGAAAAUGCUUUACGCAGAUAUGUUCCAGAUGGUGAAUCUGGCAAUCAGGUGAAGGAUAUGUGUUGUGCUGUAACUGUUGCCCAACAGGAACCGGAGAUGCCUCAUUCACCCUCAGCUUCUGGAAAAGGAUCCAAUCAAGUUAUGGGAGACCCACCUGUUGGGGAAAAAGCGUUGUCUAGGAUAAUGCAACAAACAGAUGGAGGAAGAGAUUCUUCCAUCAAGAAGAAUGCAGACCUGUGGUGUGACACAAGAGGUGGGAACAUGAAUUUUGCACCUGCUGAUAUUAUGGAGGACCGUAACUGUUAUGUGUAUGGUUCCAAUCCAAAUCCAAUGCUUCAAACAGGAAACCUCAUGCUUACAGGAGGAUUUCCAGCCUAUUCAUCACCUUACUGGAAUAACAAUACGUAUUCCACACCACUGCCAUUUGCAAAUAUGUAUGGUAAUGCUGGAAAUGCUUCAUUUAAUGCUGAUAUGGUUCCCCCGGCGCCUGCUUAUGUUCCUCCUUAUAUGCCAUCUAUGCAUGCUGGCAUGCCUUUACGUGGAGAAAUCAUGAGAAUGGGUGGUAUGGCACUUCCAGCUGGAAACAGAGAUGAUCUCCCAUUGAACCAAUAUGAGUACAUGGGUGGCAAGCUUGCUGAAGAUAAAAGGAUAAUUCAGAAUGAAAUUAUGGGAAGUGGGCAAUAUUAUCAAGCUGAGUCUAACUUUAAGGAGCAUUUCCCAAAGGACGAUCGAGUUGCAACAGGGAAGUUCCACAAGAAGAGGGAACCAGGUACAAAUUGUUCUGAGGAUCACUUUGCUCGCAGAACACACAGAAAGCAGCUCCAUGUUGAGAAAAGAAGGGAGAGAAGUCGUCGUUCCUCAUCUGCUAAUAGAGACAAGGUGACCCGUCACUCUGACAGGUUCAAUGAUGGCUUUCUUGGUAGUUCUGAUAGGCGUAGGAGAGAAAUUCAUCAACACCAUUUUCGGGACUCAAGAAAGCGUCAUGAAAGAGACUCUCAUCACAAGCAUUUCCCAAGUUCUGCACAUCCUGUGCAUCAGACGGCGCGAUCCAAAGAGAGGAGGGGUUUUGGGCAUGAGGCAAAGCACUCCAGGCACCAUGCAAGACACUUCACUGAUGAGGUUCGUGACAACAAGAAAUGGAAGAGUAGCAGCUUUUAUGAAGAUUGCAGAGAUGGUUAUCAUCACAAGCGAAAGAGAGAUCAUUGAAAGUGAUGAAUGUGAACUUGUAAAUGAAGUUGCACAUACAUCAGUAUCUGUAGAAUGGUUGGCUUUGUUGAUACAUAUCUGUAGAGUAACCGGCUUUUGGAAAGUACCUCAUGACUAACCCUGUUCAUUUACGUAACUGUAAUCCUCUUCACUUCUUUAAUGUGAGGUCUGGCUGCUAGACAGAGAUUUUAACCAGAAGCCAUCUGGUUACAAAUAGUAUUUUGGAUCAUUUUAUAUGCUGCCCAACCAUCGUUUUGGACACAGGUAUGGAAGCUGAUUUGAGGUAUGUUCUCUAACAUGGAUAUAGAAUAGGCUUUCUAAUGCUUACUGCAAUUAAGUCCUAUUCACUUAAUUUGGAAAGCCUAUCACUUCCGUCUAGCAGCCAACUAGGUCGAUCAACACAUAAAAUGAUGAUUAUUAGCAAGAUGCUCCUAAAAAUAAAUUUAAAUAGAAUGAUAACAUAAAUAAUAAAGUUAUCUUGCGAUAUGUUCGUGAGAUGUAGCGAUGCAUAAAUGCUUGCAGAACCUUCCAUGAUUUCACUAUUAAGGGCAACCCGGUGCAUUUAGUAUUUCGGGUUUUAUGAUUUCAUUAUAUCCAAGGGUAACUUGGGGCACAAAGUAUUUAAGGUUCGUAGAACAUUUAAUGAUUUCACUAUCAAGGAUAAUUUGAUGCACAAAUAUCUCAACUUUCCAUGUAUUUCACUACCCUAUAGCGACUCAGUGCACAAAGUACUUCAGAUCAUUUGUAGAACUUUGCAUAAUUUCACACUAUUCAAGGGCAACUCAUGCACAAAAUAUUUCAGAUUCGUAGAACCUUCCAUUAUUUCACUACCCAAGGCAACUUGGUGCACAAAGAAUCUCAGAUUUAUAGAACCCUGCAUAAUUUCACUAUCCAAGGACAACUCUAUGCACAUAGUAUCUCAAAUAUGUAGAACCUUUCAUGAUUUCACUAUUCCGAACAACUCGGUGCACAAGUAUCUUGGAUUUAUAGACCUUCCAUUUAAAUGUCAUACUAUCCACAACGAAGUACUUGUAAGGACUCACUGAAAACACGCACUUCCAAAUCUGUGCACUGAUAAUACACACUAUCAAUUAUCUAAAAGUACUAGUGGCGUUUGUGUUUGUAACAGACCGUCCAAAGGGCCCACCUUUACCUGCAUUGAAUCAACCGUUUGCUAAUUUAGUUCUUUAACCUUCAAAAAUGGCAAGAUGGUGUUUCAGAAACUUUUCUGAACUCCUUCGUCCCAACCAAAGUCGUCAAAAGAAGUUCUAAAUGGUGGAUAUGACCUGUAUGAAUAGAUACAGUUCAUGAAAUUGAGCGUUUUAAAUUAAGAAAAGAGUUGAGACUGUUACGAAUUAAAGCUCACAACAUACCAUUAUGUGAUUCUUUUUAUCUGUCUUGUCUAAUUUUUAUGGACAAAAUUACUUGAUACCUAUAGCUAGUAAAAGGUAACAAAUAUCCUGUAGAAUUAGUGAAGGCCUAUAAAAAUUAGCAAAUGUCACUCCCUAAUUUUUACGGAUAGCUAGUAAAAGGUAACAAAUAUCCUGUAGAAUUAGUGAAGGCCUAUAAAAAUUAGCAAAUGUCACUCCCUAAUUUUUACGGAUAUCUAAGAAACUGUGGGUUGUUGGAUGCAUGGACGCGUCGCGGGAGACAUUAUUGUCUUGCUAUCUAGGUCAUCCACGUAGUUGCUUGUGGCGGUGUACACAUACAAGUGCUUGUUGUCGGUAUUUAGGUUAGAUCAUAUUAAGUAGGACGAGUGGCAACUGUGACCAACUAAUGUUUUAAUCACAUUCAAUGGUUACCCUAAUUAAUUAAGUAAAUAUGUUGCAUGUGCAUUUAAUAUAUACAAGUAUAUCCACACUGGAAUUUAUUACUUAUUCAGGGUAAAGUAGUAUAAUUUUGAUCUGAUAAUGAGUGUGAAAUGUCUCUCUAAUGCCUCUUUUGAUACAAUAUGCAUCAUAUGGUGCAUGAUUCAGGAAAGGGUGGACUUAUUUGUGGUGUGUAUCUCCUAACACAAGGAGCUUAGAUAUACAGAUAGAUUAGGCUUGUUCAAGAGUACCUGAGCGUUGCUUGAUUUCAAGCUACUAAAGCUGUUGGAACGAGCUAAGUUUGUUGGGGUAGCUUGAUCUUAACUUGUGAUUUUGGUAGGAUUGAACUAAGAUUAUUGAAAUAUUAAGCUUUUUAGCCUGACCCGAGUACGUAUUCUGGUUUGAAGGCUUGAGUAAUGUGAGUUAGAUUAGUCUGAGCCAAAUAUAAAUAAAUAAGGUAGAACAUCAAUAAUAAGUAGAAAGGAACAAAAAACUGGUGGUCAGAUUGAUAGGAAUUAAAGCUCAGAAGGAAAUGUUAAAUUCAUAUCAACUUAAGACUUUUUCGAAGUCUUGAUGUCCCAGUGGUCCGACACAAAUCUCCUUGAAUUUUACUAAGGUGUGGCCUAAAGGUGAUAAUGUGGUUGAGAAUUUUCAGGUCUUAGAUUUAAAAUUUAGUGGAGAUAAAAAAUAUAUUAGGUAAUUCUUUUUAUUUAUCUUACUAAUCGGGGAAUAGAGUUAUACAGUUAGAGUUACAAACAUUUUGUAGAAUUGAUCGAGUGGUGAAAAAGUUGGCACAUAUAUCACAAUAAUUAAAAAAGAAAAGAUCUUAAUUUGUAGGGAGAUCUAAGUAACUGUGUUUGUUCCAUGCAUGCACGUGUCCUGUGAGACAUUAUUGUAGUGCUAUCUGUGUCAUCCACGUACGUUGCUUGUGCAGUGUACCACAUACAAGUACAUUCGUUGUCAGUGUUUCAAAGAGAGUAUUGAGUUAUUGUUAGGUAGGUUGAGACCAUACUAGUGGGAGGAAGAGGCAACUGUAACCAACUAACUAAUCUUUGGGGGAAAACUUAAUCACAUCCCAUAUUUACUAUAAUCAAUUAAGUAAAUAUGUUACAUGUGUUUUUAAUACAAUUAAUGUAUUCAAGUAUAUUCUCUGGCUGGAAUUUAUUACUUAAUCAGGGUAAAAAUUUGUGGUAUUUAACUCUCAUGCAUCUGGAGCUUAGACAUACAGAUCGAUUAGUCCAAGCUUGCUCAAGAGUAUCUGAUCUGUGCUUGAUUUCAAGCACUAGAGUUGUUAAUACAGGAUAACUUUAUUGCAUCGGAUCGGCCCAACUGAUGAUUUAAUAAGAUUGGGUUAAGAUUAUUGAAAAUAAUUUAACAACAAAGCUCUUUAGCCUAAUCCGAAUAAGUUUACUUGUUAGUGGGGCUUCAGCAAGCUAGGUUAGGCUGCGGCUUAUGGGUUAAAUAAAAAAUAAAUAAUAAAGUAGAACAAUAAAAAUAAGUAAAUAACAAGAAUAAUUUGAACUCUAAAUUUACUUAAAUCAUUAUAGGUAAAUAUUACAAGUUAAUAUUUCAAUUUAGCUAGUUAUAUUGUUAUUUUUUAAUUGUUUAGUUUGCUUUAUUAACGUAUCUUCUUGGUUUUAAUAGAAUAAUGUUAAAAGUUAUUUAGUUUCACAUAAAUUUUAUGUUCAAUAUCAUUUCAUAUUGUAGUUGUGCUCCAGAUACUUGUAUAGUAACAUCUCGUAGAUAUUUAUCUUAAUAUUUUAAGAUUAAAAUUUUAAAUAUAUAUAUAUAGAAAUAGAUAGAUAGAUAGAUAUUUCUUAAAACAGUGGACUAGCCAGCCAUGACGUGGUGUGUAAUCCACGUAAAUAGAAAGACACCCCCACAAAACCCUCGUAACCCAUACCCCAAAAAGAGAAAGUAAUUCGUUGUGUAGGCUAUCGUGUAGUUGAUAAAAUUAGGUGGAUGGCUAGUAAAUUUUGAGAAGUUGUUGGUUUUUAAAUUUUCAUGAACAAUUUAUGGAAUUUGAACUCUACAAAUUUUCAUGACAGAUUUUGAAAUAGGUAUUAUUAGUGAGAUAGAGAAAUAUUUACGUUGAAUAUCAAGAAAAACAAUUAUUUCAGUCAUGAUGUGGGAACUUAAUGAUUGUGAUUUGGAUUUCAAAAGAGGUAUCAUGUGAAAAGGUUUGCUUCGCUCUCGAACAUCUUUUGAACUCGAGGACUUCAGAGUUCAAUUUGUGUUGUUCAGGAGAUUGAAUAAGCCUUUUUAUAAAACUACACUAGGAUUUAUUUAUUUUUUCAAAGGGACAUAUAGUUGUUAAUAAAUAGUGUACUAUCAAUAUUUUACAUAUACACUUGUUUAUACAUGAUUACAUGGUCUAUAAAUUUAAGUAUAUGUAUGUAUUUGAAAAUACACUAUCUAAGUGUAGAUAUUUUAUAAACCAGAUGAAUCGAAAAUUCUGAACUGUAGUUUUCUCUUUAGAAAAUGGUGAUGGGAAUUUCAACCGUGUGUGUUCGAGUUUCACGUAUGAGAGUUUUGAACUCCAGUAUACCCAGAUUUUCACUUGCAAGAGACCUUCAAUCUCUUAACAGUGUGUUGGGAUUUCACUUGUCAAAACUUUGAAAUUUAGCAUGGAUUGUUGAAGUUGUUUUAUGUUUUAGCUGGGCAUAUUCUUGUCAAAGAAACAAGUGUCGAGAGUGGCUGAAGGUACUUCUAUAAUAAUACUAAUAUUUAAUAGGAAAAAUUGCUUAAAUAGGUGUCUUUUAAUAAAUAAUUACUGAUUUUAGUAAUAUUUUUUAUUGAUUAUCAUUUAUAACAAUACUAUGAUAAAUUUGUAAUAUGUGUAUUAUAACUGUUUUUAAAAUAUAUAUAUAAUGCUUGUUUGGUUAGAAAUUGACACAUUGUAUUAUAAGUGUAUUAAAAUGUACGAUAAAUGUAUUAUUCAUCAAUAAAAUUUGUAUGUUAUGUGUUUUUUAGAUUGUUCUCUGUAAUGUUUUAAAAUUGUAUUAUAAAUGUAUAAAAGUGAUCAAGUGAAAAGAAAUUAUUAUUGUUAUAAAUGGUAAAUAUUUUCUUAAUAUAGAAUAUUUAUGUAAGUUUUAGGUGUUGAUGGCGUGUUUGGCUGGUUUUUAAGAACAUAUAUAUAUGUAAAGUAAAAAGUAUCCAUAUUAUCUAAUAUGAAACUAAGAGAACAUUAAUGUAAUAUUAUGAUCAAGAACAAGCUAAUAAUAUGACUUUAAAAAGGUAGGUAUUAGGUUUUUGCAUGGUAUUAUAUUGAAAAGUUUAUACGAUAAUUUUAAUUUUUAGUUUACAAAAAUAUUAUAUUAUUUCAAUAUCAAAUUUAUUUGGUAUGGUUUGAUAUUCUUAUGUUCGGUUUCAGCAUUUUGUUGUAUUGUAAUUGAUAAUUAUAACUUGUUUUACUUCCAUUUACAUAUAACUACGUAAUAGAAAUUAUGACUCUUGACUUUUAUAAGAAACAUUUUAAUUAUAUUAUGUUACAUUUUAAACAUGUAGAGAUAUUCAAAAGAAAGUAUAUGCAAUUUCCUUUGCUAAUUAAUUACAUAAAAUUUAAAAAAAUAUCAAGAUAAAGUACUCAGAGAUUCAUCAUCUAACAAUUAGUGUUGUACUUAUAUUAGUUUAUAUAAAUUAUGAGUGUUAGUAUUAUAUGUGUAAUUAUAUAUUUUAGCAUGAGAUUUUUAAUAUUAUAAGAAAGCAUACCAAAACAAUAGGAGUAUUAAAUAUAAUAAUAUUAAAAUUAUGGAAUCAAGAGGUUUCGUUGGGUAUGGUAUGGUGGAGUUACUAUAUAAUUUUAAGAUGAAGUGUGUGAAAGGUAAAAUAAAGUUAUUAAAUAAAAAGUAAAAGCAAAAUGAAAAAAGUAAGGCAACAAAAUAAUUACAUUAGAUUGAUUGUCACAUAAAAUUAUAUUCUUUUAUUGUUAUAUAAUAAUAAAUCUUGAAUAAUAAUGAAAAUAAACAUUAUUCCCUCUGUUCAUUUUUACUUGACAGAUAUUAUUAUUUGACUUGAUAUACCUAUUAAUAAAAUAAUUAUUGAUAUAUGUGUUAUAUCAUACUGUCCCUAUUAAUUGAAAAAAAGUAUUUAUUUCUAAAGGUAAAACAUGAAAAAAGUUAACUCUGUUUUCUUGAUAGGUUAAAAGUAGAAUAAAAAUAAGAGUUGAUUUGGUUGAAGUACAAUUUUUCCCCUUCAAAUCAACGUACAGUUCAUGCAUCUUUUCAUUGUUUCGUCCCCCUAUUUUUCUUUUUCUUUGUUGAAAGAGGAAGUGGACGAAUUCAAAUCGAGUUCUUUCCAUUCCUAGAACAGUUGUUUAAUGGGUGAAUUUGGUCCUUUAGGUAAUGCAACUUGGUUCUCAAAAAAAUGUAGGCCAAGUUGACCUAUUUAUUGUAUGGAUUAGUUUUAUUUACUCGGUCUGAUCAAGACCAACUAGAUAUUGGUUGAUGACUGAUAUUAGAUGAGUGGGCAACAAUAUGUGCUCCUCAUUUAUUGUUAGUUCAAAUUCAAAUUGAUCUACGAUGCAAGCUAAGCAAAUGAUCAAACAUUGAACUUGUCGACCAAUACCCUAUCUGAAUGAAUUCUGAACCAUGGGAUUGGUUGGUGCCUCCACUUCCGGCAGCAGGAAGAGGUUUCCAUUGGCUGCGCAGCAGGAGAUUAUGAGGGCAGCCAAGAAAGAUGACCAGUACAAGAGUCAUCGUAGCUUACCAGAAUGAGCCUGCUUGUCUUGCACUGAACAACGACCAUUUGAUUAUCCUUCACAAGAAGGUGGCAGAGCUGUUCUGGAUAUUAGUAUCAAAUUUUCCAUGUUCUUUGGGAAUGGAUUAAUCACUGACACUGUUGAGGAAUGACAGGUUUAUGGACCCAAUCUUUACGUGGUGCAUAAUGAUUUGGAUCGUAGUCUCCCCUUGUAAGAUGUUGGUUCUUAUUGUACUAUACUCAAUAAAAAAAUGUUUGGAGUAAAGUACGAGGUAGCAAUAUUCAACAGUGAUAGCGGUUUCUCAACGUGGCAGAGAAGGAUGAAAGACUCGCUCAUCCAACAGGGUUUGCAUAAGGCACUAGGCGGUAAAUCCAAAAAGCCUGAAUCCAUGAAACUUGAGGAUUGGGAAGAAAUGGAUGAAAAGGCUGCUAGUGCAAUCAUAUUGCACUUAAGAGAUGAUGUAGUUAAUAACAUCAUUGAUGAAGAGAGUGCACAUGGCAUUUGGACAAAGUUAGAAAAGCUAUACAUAUGUCCAAAACGCUGACAAAUAAAUUGUACCUAAAGAAGCAGUUAUAUGCGCUACAUAUGGGUGAAGUACAAAUUUUUUGUCUCAUUUAAAUGUACUUAAUGGACUAAUCACGCAGCUAGCAAACCUCGGAGUAAAGAUCGAGGAUGAAGAUAAAGCCAUAGUGCUCAUAAACUCGUUGUCAUCUUCCUACGAUACUUUAGCAACAACCAUUUUACAUGGUAAGGACUCUGUUGAGUUGAAGGAUGUCAUAUCAGCCCUUUUGCUUAAUGAGAAGAUGAGAAAAAGGCCUGAAAAUCAAGAACAUGCUCUCAUUACGGAAAGUAGAGAAAGAAGUUACCAAAGGAGCUCAAGUAACUAUGAUAGAUUCGGAGUUCGUGGAAAGUCCAAGGUCCGAUCAAAAUCGAAGGCCAGAAAUUGCUACAAUUGCGAUCAACCAGGAUACUUCAAAAGAGAUUGUCCAAAUCUAAAAAGGGGCAAAGCAAUGGUCAGAAGAAUGAUGACAACACAGCUGUCAUGGUGCAAAAUAAUGACAAUGUUAUUCUUCUCAUAAAUGAGGAAGAAGAAUGCAUGCAAUUGGCAGGUAUAGAGUCAGAAUGAGUGGUCGACACAGCAGCAUCUUAUCAUGCCACACCAGUAAGAGAUCUUUUUUGCAGAUAUGUAGCCGGUGAUUAUGCAGUGGCGGAUCCAGGAUUUAAAGGUUGUGGGUGCUCACUUUCAGUGUAAAAUUCGCUGAAAAUUUUUUUAAAAAAGAAAUGCUACUGGCGGGAUUCGAAUCCUCGCCAGUGGCUUCACGCGCCUCUUUUUGCAGAGGUUUAAACCAGCUCACCCACAGCUGAUUUUGUUCUAUGGGUGCUCAUUUAAAUUAUAAUAACAUAUGUAUCAUAUUUUCUAUAUAUAUAUAUACAAAAAAUUUCGAAAAUCAAUGGGUGCUCGAGCACCCGCGUCUGACUUACUGGAUCCGCCCUGUGAUUAUGGCAAUGUGAAAAUGGGUAACACAAGUUAUUCAAAGAUUGCGGGGAUCGGAGACAUUUGCUUAAAACAAAUGUUGGAUGCACAUUAGUGUUGAAAGAUGUGCGCCACGUACCUGAUUUGCGGAUGAAUUUGAUCUCAGGAGUUGCUUUGGACCAAGAUGGAUAUGAGAACUACUUUGCAAAUAAAAAAUGGAGACUCACCAAAGGGGCAUUGGUGAUUACAAAAGGAGUUGCUCGUGGCACAUUAUACAGGACAAAUGCAGAAAUAUGCCAAGGUGAAUUAAAUGCGGCUCACGAAGAGAAUUCUGCAGAUUUAUGGCAUAAAAGAAUGAGUCAUAUGAGCGAGAAAGGAUUGCAAAUUCUUUCCAAAAAUUCACUCAUCUCUUUUGCCAAAGGUACAACAAUAAAAUCGUGUAACUACUGCUUAUUUGGUAAACAACAUAAAGUCUCAUUUAAGACAUCAUCUGAAUGAAAGUCGAAUAUACUUGAUUGGUAUAUUUAGAUGUUUGUGGUCCAAUGGAGAUAGAAUCGAUAGGAGGUAAUAAAUACUUUGUUACCUUUAUUGAUGAUGCUUCUCAAAAAUUGUGGGUUUAUUUAUAUCUUGAGAACCAAAGAUCAGGUGUUUCAAGUAUUUCAAAAGUCUCAUUGCUCUGAUAGAAAGAGAGACAGGUCGAAAGCUAAAACGUCUCCGAACCGACAAUGGAGGUGAGUACACUUCAAGAGAAUUUGAAUAGUAUUGUUCAAACCAUGGAAUCAGACAUGAAAAGACAGUUCCUGGAACCCCACAACACAAUGGUGUAGCUGAGAGAAUGAACCGCACCAUUGUUGAGAAGGUGAGAAGCAUGCUCAAAAUGGCUAAAUUACCCAAGACAUUCUGGGGUGAAGCAGUUCGGACAGCUUGUUAUCUUAUCAAUCGUAGUCCAUCAGUUCCGUUGGAGUUUGACAUUCCGGAGAGAGUUUGGACCAACAAAGAGAUGUCUUACUCGCACCUAAAGGUGUUCGUUUGCAAAGCUUUUGCACAUGUACCGAAGGAGCAAAGAACCAAGCUAGAUGAUAAAUCAAUUCCCUGCAAAUUCAUCAGAUAUGGAGAUGAAGAGUUCAGGUACAGACUAUGGGAUCUUGUAAAGAAGAAGGUCAUUAAAAGUAGAGAUGUAAUCUUUCGAGAAAGUGAAGUUGGAACUGCUGAUGAUCUAUCCGAGAAGGGCCAAGAAAAAGAAUGGUAUAGUCCCUAAUCUUAAACCAUUGAUUCUUCUUCUAACCAUCCCAUAAGUGCAGAAAGUACGAUUAAUGAAGUUGCUGAGCAUGAAGAGCAACCUGAUGAGAUUGUUGAGCAGGGGGAGCAACUUGGUGAUAAUACCGAGCAAAUGGAGUACCCAGAAGAAGAAGAACAAUCUCAACCUCUGAGGAGAUCAGAAAGACAAAAGGUAGAAUCAACCAAAUACCCUUCCUCAGAGUAUGUCCUUAUCAAUGAUGAAGGUGAGCCAGAAAGUCUUAAGGAGGUGUUGUCUCUUCCAGAAAAGAGCCAAUGGAUGAAAGUCAUGCACGAAAAGAUGGGAUCUCUACAGAACACAUACCAGCUAGUUGAACUUCCAAAAGGAAAAAGACCACUUAAGUGCAAGUGGGUCUUUAAACUCAAGAAAAAUGGAAAUGGCAAGUUGGUCAGGUACAAAGCUCGAUUGGUUGUAAAAGGCUUUGAACAAAAGAAAGGUAUUGAUUUUGAUGAAAUUUUUUCACCCGUUGUCAAAAUGACUUCUAUUUGAACUAUUUUGAGCAUAGCAGCUAGUCUAGAUCUUGAAGUGGAGCAAUUGGACGUGAAAACUGCAUUUCUUCAUGGAGAUUUGGAAGAAGAGAUUUAUAUGGAGUAACCAGAGGGAUUUGAAGUAUCUGGAAGAAACACAUGGUGUGCAAAUUGAAUAAGAGUCUGUAUGGGUUGAAACAGGCCCUAAGGCAAUCGUACAAAAAGUUUGACUCUUUCAUGAAAAGUCAAACGUAUACAAAGACCUAUUCUGAUCCAUGUGUAUACUUCAAAAGAUUUUCUGACAAUAAUUUUAUUAUUUUAUUGUUAUAUGUGGAUGACAUGUUAAUUGUAGGACAAGACAAAGAGCUGAUUGCAAAGUUGAAGAAAGAUUUGUCUAAGUCAUUUGACAUGAAAGACUUGGGCCCAGCACAACAAAUUCUUGGGAUGAAGAUUAUUUGAGAACGAACAAAAAGAAAGUUGUGGCUAUCUCAAGAGAAGUACAUUGAACGUGUACUAGAACGCUUCAACAUGAAGAGUGUUAAACCUGUUAGCACGCCUCUUGCGAGUCAUCUGAAUUUGAGCAAACAGAUGUGCCCUACAACAAAAGAGGAGAAAGAGGGAAUGACUAAAGUUCCUUAUUCUUCAGCAGUGGGGAGUUUGAUGUAUGCGAUGGUGCGUACAAGACCUGAUAUUGCUCAUGCAGUUGGUGUUGUUAGCAGAUUCCUUGAAAAUCCUGGAAAAGAACACUGGGAGGCAGUUUACUGGAUACUCAGGUACCUAAGAGGUACCACAAGAGAUUGCUUGUGUCUUAAAGGAUCUGACUCAAUCUUGAAAGGCUAUAUUGAUGCUGAUAUGGCAGGUGACCUCGAUAAUAGAAAAUCCACUACUGGAUAUUUGUUUACAUUUUCAAGGGGAGAUAUAUCAUGGCAGUCAAAAUUGCAGAAGUGUGUCACACUCUCUACAACUGAGGCAGAAUAUAUUGCAGCUACUGAAGCUGGAAAAGAGAUGGUAUGGCUGAAACUAUUUCUUCAAGAACUUGGAUUGCAUCAGAAGGAGUAUGUCGUCUAUUUGACAGUGAGAGUGCAAUAGACUUGAGCAAGAACACCAUGUAUCAUGCAAGGACGAAGCAUAUCGACGUGAGAUAUCACUGAAUUCGUGAAAAGAUAGAGGACAGAUCUAUGCAGGUCAUGAAGAUCCCUACUAGUGAAAACCUUUUAGAUAUGCUGACCAAAGGUGGUAACAAGGGACAAGUUUGAGAUAUGUCAGAACUUGUCGGCAUGUACUCAAGCUAGAAACCUAGAGCUACCUCCUUCAGGGUGAAUGGGUCUGGAGGGGGAGAUUGUGGGGUCCAUCCCCAUGUACCAACUUUGAAUAACUCUCUGCCAAUUUCAAAGUUUUGGCAGAUUUGGUGCUGAAUUAUUUUUCAGCUUUACUUAAUUUUCAAUAGUAGGUAAGCUAUGAAGAAAAACAAUUGUUUUAUUUCUAUAGCACAUUUGGAGGGUAGUCAUUUGUUUUCAAUAAAAUGGAGGACAAUUCUUCAUUCUAGGUGCACCAAAAAAGAAUUACAAAGGAGAGAAAAGAAGACUGAGGCAUCACAGAGGAAAAUAUUCUGUGAGGAAAAAUAGAGAGUGUGAGCGAUAUUGUAGUGAGGUGGAAAAAUCAAAGACUGUUAUUUCUUUUGAAUGUGUAGUGGUCUUUGGAGUUUUACUCAGACAUACAAGUGUAAAAUCCUUGCUAUAGUGAUAUUCGUUGCUCCUCUCGGGUCGUGGUUUUUCUCUUAUUUAGGAGGGUUUCCACGUAAAA